GCCUUCCUUGCAGGGUCACAACUUACAGAAUAUAUUCCCAAGGGCCCUUGUCACACUACACAAUUAUUGCACCAUAGUUCCACAUUCAUUGCCAUGACAACAUCACACGGAAUCCUGAGAGUUGUGAAUGGCCCUUCCUUAAAUCAGAAUUUUCACAAUUCCACACAAUACAGCCAAGGCAGGAAAAAUGAAAUUAUAGUGCUACAAGUGCUGAGUACUGUGUUUUAAUUUGUCCACAUGGAGAAUUUAGAUUUGCAAGGGUUUUUCUGCUGUGCUUUCUCAUUCUUCAUGUGAACAAGAAUGGAUAAACAGCCCAGUUGAAUUAGUCCAAAGGCCCAUUUAGACUCAGAUUCUUUCUUGGAAGAACAGAAACCAAACCUUAAUGCAAGAAGACCCUUUCCUUGGUGUUUUUCCUGUGGCAGCAUUUGCUGACUGUUUUAUUCAUUUACAAUGGAGAUGAAGAAUAUGUGGCCCUUCAAAUGUUGUUUGGCUACAACUCCCAUCAACCUGAGUCAGUAGAGCCCAUUGUGAAGAUUGAUGGGGUUUGCAUUCCAAAUACCAUCUGGAGAACCACACAGGCUGAUAAGCAAGUUGGAUGUUUCUGCUGUUCAUUUUGCCAUGAUCAUAGAAAGUCCAGUGUAAGGGCAUAAUGUGAGUACUCCAGUGCAUUCUAUAGGUUAAUAAGCUAUUUGUUUUCAUUCCAUCUACCAAGGAUAGAAGGCAAAAAAGGCUCAGUUGAACAAAAAAAAGUUUCAAGAAGUGACUGAAUCCUUACCUCUCUGUUGUGUAUCGUGGCAAAUCCAAUGGUGCCUGGUGGUGUGUGUGUGUGUGUGUGUGUAUGUAUGUGUGGCGUGGGAAACUCCAUGCCUCCCAUCACCUGGUUUCCCACCUACCAGCUGUUAGCCCCCGCUUCUGCCAACCUAGCAGUUCAAAAACAUGCAAAUGUGAGUGGAUCAAUAGGUACUGCUUUGGGGGAAGGUAAUGGCACUCCAUGCAGUCAUUCUGUCCACAUGACCUUUGAGGUGUCUACAGACAACGUUGGUUCUUCAGCUUGGAAAUGAAGAUGAGCACCAAUCCCCAGAGUUGGACAUGACUAGACGUAAUGUCGUGGGAAGACUUUUACAUUUACCUGUUUUAAAGACAUAGAACAUAAGGACAACAGAAAGCGUUUGUGUGCAAAAAACCAAGGGACUAAGUUGUUUUCAUUCGUUUGUAUGUUUGUAUCCCACCCUUUCCACACUGAGUCUAGCUAAGAACAGAAUAAUGUAUAUAUGACCCUUGUAUCCACAAGGAAUACAUUCCAAGAUUCUCGUGGAUACCUGAAACUGUGGAUAAUAGCAGACUUUAUAUUUUGAUUAUACUUGGGCCAGAAGCAUACCACAGAAUUACACCAGAGGACUCAGAGAGGCCCACAAUCACUUUUUUGGGGGGAUAUAUUUUGAGAAUGGGUAAGUAAAACGGUAUAUAUUGAACAUAUGGAUAAAGGGGUUGUGUUGUUUAAAAGCGUCAAAGAACAAAACCUGGUAAUAUAACUCUUAAACAAAUCUUCAGUAUUAAAACAUUAAGAGCAUGUAAAAAGGCCUUAUAGUUGGACUUAUUCAAUCGAAGAUGCCACGGCCCUGAGUUUGCACAGUCUGAACAGGGCAGAUGACUAGGGCUGUUUCUAUACAGCCACAUAAUCCAGAUCAGAAUAUGGAUUAAAGACAUCUAGUUGCACUCUGGUGAGAAUCCACACACACCUUGGGAACCAUGAAAAAGGUCCCACAGCAUCCACAAAGCUCCCCUCAUGCCGAAUCGAUACAACAGAAGGACUUUUUUUUACUCGGAUAGGAGAAAUGUGCUGAACUGCAGCAGCCCAUCAAAUGAAAACCAGCAGUAGAACUCAUCUCCCAACUCAAAAACAAAAAGGGGAAAGCAAUUUCCUCUGCGGAAGAGGGGGAGGUGUUUGUUUACUUUCCUGAGAUCACCAUAUUUGGUUCCUUUAUCCAAAUUUUCCAGUGAUGGUGCUAUUUACAUGAAUGCUGAGCAUGUUCCUCUCAAAUUUCUACUCUGCAGCAUCUGUACAUUGC